UACGAAGGGGGGCUAGCGUUGUUCGGAAUUACUGGGCGUAAAGCGCACGUAGGCGGAUUUGUAAGUCAGGGGUGAAAUCCCGGGGCUCAACCUCGGAACUGCCUUUGAUACUGCAAGUCUCGAGUCCGAUAGAGGUGAGUGGAACUGCGAGUGUAGAGGUGAAAUUCGUAGAUAUUCGCAAGAACACCAGUGGCGAAGGCGGCUCACUGGCCCGGUACUGACGCUGAGGUGCGAAAGCGUGGGGAGCAAACAGG
rnacentral:rRNA from 1 species